UACAGAGGGUGCGAGCGUUAAUCGGAAUUACUGGGCGUAAAGCGUGCGUAGACGGUUAUUUAAGUCGGAUGUGAAAGCCCCGGGCUCAACCUGGGAAUUGCAUUCGAGACUGAAUAGCUAGGGUGCGGUAGAGGGAAGCGGAAUUUCCGGUGUAGCGGUGAAAUGCGCAGAUAUCAGGAAGAACACCAAUGGCGAAAGCAGCUCUCUGGGACGGUACUGACGCUGAGACGCGAAAGCGUGGGGAGCGAACAGG
rnacentral:rRNA from 1 species